GUGUCUGGUGGGUAGUUUGACUGGGGCGGUCUCCUCCUAAAGAGUAACGGAGGAGUACGAAGGUGCGCUCAGCGUGGUCGGAAAUCACGCGUAGAGUAUAAAGGCAAAAGCGCGCUUAACUGCGAGACCCACAAGUCGAGCAGGUACGAAAGUAGGUCUUAGUGAUCCGGUGGUUCUGUAUGGAAGGGCCAUCGCUCAACGGAUAAAAGGUACUCUGGGGAUAACAGGCUGAUACCGCCCAAGAGUUCAUAUCGACGGCGGUGUUUGGCACCUCGAUGUCGGCUCAUCUCAUCCUGGGGCUGAAGCAGGUCCCAAGGGUAUGGCUGUUCGCCAUUUAAAGAGGUACGCGAGCUGGGUUUAGAACGUCGUGAGACAGUUCGGUCCCUAUCUACCGUGGGCGCUGGAAAUUUGAGAGGAUCUGCUCCUAGUACGAGAGGACCAGAGUGGACGAACCUCUGGUGUACCGGUUGUGACGCCAGUCGCAUCGCCGGGUAGCUAUGUUCGGAAGGGAUAACCGCUGAAAGCAUCUAAGCGGGAAGCCUACCUCAAGAUAAGAUUUCCCUAGGAAUUUAUUCCUCUAAAGAGCCGUUCGAGACUAGGACGUUGAUAGGUUGGAUGUGGAAGCAUAGUGAUAUGUGAAGCUGACCAAUACUAAUUGCUCGUGAGGCUUGACUAUACAACACCCAAGCAGUUG
rnacentral:rRNA from 1 species